UACGGGGGGGGUAAGCGUUGUUCGGAAUUACUGGGCGUAAAGGGCUCGUAGGCGGCCAACUAAGUCAGACGUGAAAUCCCUCGGCUUAACCGGGGAACUGCGUCUGAUACUGGAUGGCUUGAGAUUGGGAGAGGGAUGCGGAAUUCCAGGUGUAGCGGUGAAAUGCGUAGAUAUCAGGAGGAACACCGGUGGCGAAGGCGGGUCUCUGGGCCGAUACUGACGCUGAGGAGCGAAAGCGUGGGGAGCGAACAGG
rnacentral:rRNA from 1 species